GCCCUGCUUUUGUGGGGUGCUCGAGUGGCGAACGGGUGAGUAACACGUGAGUAACCUGCCCUUGACUUUGGGAUAACUUCAGGAAACUGGGGCUAAUACCGGAUAGGAGCUCCUGCCGCAUGGUGGGGGUUGGAAAGUUUCGGCGGUUGGGGAUGGACUCGCGGCUUAUCAGCUUGUUGGUGGGGUAGUGGCUUACCAAGGCUUUGACGGGUAGCCGGCCUGAGAGGGUGACCGGCCACAUUGGGACUGAGAUACGGCCCAGACUCCUACGGGAGGCAGCAGUGGGGAAUAUUGCACAAUGGGCGGAAGCCUGAUGCAGCAACGCCGCGUGCGGGAUGACGGCCUUCGGGUUGUAAACCGCUUUCGCCUGUGACGAAGCGUGAGUGACGGUAAUGGGUAAAGAAGCACCGGCUAACUACGUGCCAGCAGCCGCGGUGAUACGUAGGGUGCGAGCGUUGUCCGGAUUUAUUGGGCGUAAAGGGCUCGUAGGUGGUUGAUCGCGUCGGAAGUGUAAUCUUGGGGCUUAACCCUGAGCGUGCUUUCGAUACGGGUUGACUUGAGGAAGGUAGGGGAGAAUGGAAUUCCUGGUGGAGCGGUGGAAUGCGCAGAUAUCAGGAGGAACACCAGUGGCGAAGGCGGUUCUCUGGGCCUUUCCUGACGCUGAGGAGCGAAAGCGUGGGGAGCGAACAGGCUUAGAUACCCUGGUAGUCCACGCUGUAAACGGUGGGUACUAGGUGUGGGGUCCAUUCCACGGGUUCCGUGCCGUAGCU
rnacentral:rRNA from 1 species